UACGAAGGGGGCUAGCGUUGCUCGGAAUUACUGGGCGUAAAGCGCGUGUAGGCGGCCCUGCAAGUCGGGUGUGAAAUCCCACGGCUCAACCGUGGAAGUGCACUCGAAACUGCAGGGCUAGAGUACCGGAGAGGGUGGCGGAAUUCCCCAAAGUAGAGGUGAAAUUCGUAGAUAUGGGGGAGGAACACCAGGUGGCGAAGGCGGUUCUCUGGGCCUUACCUGACGCUGGAGGAGCGAAAGCGUGGGGAGCGAACAGG
rnacentral:rRNA from 1 species